UGUGUUUUAGGUUACAGUAAAUUGUAGUUUUGUAUGGAGUUUAAAUCGGUAGCACUAUAAUAUCAACAUAGCUAACAAUGAUUGCUAUUCGAUGGCACCAGUAACUAAAGGGUCGAUACUUAUUGCUGAGUUAAAUAACUAUUCAUAACAAUGGUUCACAGUCUGAACUUACAGACACAGAUACAAUGGAUACAGGUGGAAGAAUGAUAGGCACGUUGCUAGAACCGACUGUCAUCGCUGAGUAAUUCAUAUAUUAAGAAUUUAUGAAAAUAAGUGAAUGGCAACAUUAAGCACGACGGGAACACUUGUGAUCUGAUCUUUAAACGCCACGAGAUUGUUGCCUACAUUUUACAGUUCAAUUUACGACAGUGAGAGAUAAAACGAAAUAAUUUAGGACAAAAAAACUGAAGUUUUUUUUUGCAUUGAUGCCAGUAAAAUUGGAACAAGAAGAAAUGAAUAUAUUUAUAACCAAAUGUACUUAAAACGAGAAAAGUGAGAAGAGAGAAUCCCUUUACAUUCUGUUUUCAUUGACAUGUUAGUACAUAAGUUAGACAUAAGCAUAUGUUGUUUAAAUAAACACAUGUGUAUUUAAUUUUGAUAAAACAAUGUACAAGCUAGUUUUAGGAAGAUAAAUAUGAUACAAUUGUACUAAGACUGUGAGAACUAUUUCGUUGAACCAACAUUGUAACACAUCAUGUGAAAUGUAUGUCAUGUUAAUUAAGUACAACACAUGUUCACAUAUCUUGAAACUGUUAUUACACACACUCAUAUAUAACUUGAAUUUAUCAUACUUAUAAAAAUAAGAGGAGAUUGUUUCUAAAAUAUGAAUGUACCUUCAAUUUCAUACCCUACCUCUGCGAAGUUCUAAUAAAGUAUUUUUUAACGAAGUUUAGUUACUCAGAACCCUGUUCUAUUUCCUUAUUUUUAACCAAAAAUGAUAUUGCAGAAGAAUGAUAGCCAGUCAUUGCUAAAUGUAGGUAAGUAAUUAGAAAAACAAUAUCUUUCAUCCCCUUUCCACUAUUUAUUUAUUAAUAUUAAUUUAUGCGCUCUGUUACACACGAAACAGUGUAUAGAUUAAUAGCAACAUUUAAGAACGAUUGUUAUUACGAUUACGAUUGAAAUUAAAUAAAUGUCAACAUUUUACGAAGGAAUUAUGCAGUUAAUCGUUAUCAUUAUCUUUUUUAUUUACAUUAUAAAAUUAUCCUCACAUUAAACAAUACAAUAUCUUGUAUAUCAAUUAUCUGCAUAAUUAAUUACCAUUACUUUAUAUGCAAUUAUUAAUUGUAAUACGGUAUAAUCCUAUAGAACAUAUUCGCGCAUAUAACUCAAAAACGGGGCAAACUACGGUAUAGCCAUCUAGCGGCGGAACCCGAAGCUCAAAUUCGCGUGACUGCGAGAGAGAAAGGAAGUAUGAGCGACAAGGACGCAGAGUGCAGUGUGCGUUUGAGAGAGAAAGGAAACAUGAGCGACAAAGAUAGUGCGAGGCAUAAUGCUGCCAUCUAGCAUACAAACGCCCAAGCUUGUCGAGAAAUAGUUUCAAGUUUCCACAGUUAGAUGGCGACAUCAAAAUGUACUUAAUUAAUCUUGGAUAAACUGCUUUAACAUAUUAAAUAAUCAAUUUCUAACGAUAUUACAAGCAUAAUAUAAGUAUAAUACAUAUUAAAAUUGAGUUAAAACGUUAUUUUUCGACCAUUAAUUUUUGUAUAGGCUUUAAACCGUUGCGACAUCUAACGGUGGAAAGCUGAAGCUAGUUCUCGAUAAGCUUGGGCGCUUGUACGCUAGAUGACAGCAUUGUGCCUCGCGCUAUCUUUGUCGCACAUAUUUCCUUUCUCUCUCGCGCUCGCGGAAUUUACGAUUACAUUGCGCACUCUCGCCCAAUUAUUCUUAAUAACUAUUUAAUAACAAUCAGAAUCCCACUAACAAUGGUCCUUGAAUGUUGCUAUCGAUCUAGUCUUCAUUCCCAUUGCGUUAAAGUGCACAAAAUGUUUGCAGAUUGUUCAGAAACAAUCGUUUAAUUCGAGCUGUCACGCCGCCGUAACGAUGCCGUGCGUAUCACCUCGUCCAAUUAUUCUUAAUAACUAUUUAAUAACAAUCGGAACCGUUCUAACAAUGGUGUUUUAAUGUUCCCAUAGGUGCAAUCUUCAUUCUUAUUGCGUUAAAGUGCACAAAUUAUCUUUUGAGGGUUCAGAAAUUAAUGUUAACGUGUGAUAAACACACGGCCGAGCCGUCCAUUGUACGUAUUCAAGAUGGCGGCUCAUAGUCUCAUUCUUGUCGCACAUGUAGGUCUCUCUCUCGCAUGCGCCAUGCACUUUUCGUCCUUGUCGCACAUGUAGUGUUCUCUCUCGCACGCACUAUGCAUUCUCCGUCCUUGUUGCUCAUGGCUUCCUUUCUCCCUCGCACUCAAGCGAAUUUGAGCUUCGAGGCUCGCCGCUAGAUGGCUAUACUGUAUUUUGCUCCGUUUUUGAGUUAUACGCGCGAAUAUGUACUAUAAGAUCAUGCCAUAUUGCAAAUAAUAAUUAAAUAUAAAGCACUGGUAAUUAAUUAUGGAGAUAACUGAUGUACAAGAUAUUGUAUUGUUUAAUGUAAGGAUAAUUUUGUAAUCUAAACAAAGAAGAUAAUUAUAACGAUUAACUGCAUAAUUCGUUAGUAAAAUGUUGACAAUUAUUUAAUUUCAAUCGUUCAAUUGUUAUUACGGAAUCGUAAUAACAAUCGUCCUUAGAUGUUGCUGUUAAUGUUUACACUAUUUCGUGUGUGACAAGGCGCAUAAAUUAUUCACACAAAGUUAAUAAACAACCGAAUAUAGCGAGUAUUGUUUCAAUUUCAUAUUGAAAUUCG